UCAGUUACCAAUUUGCAGCAGCAUUGCUAGCUAGCUAGUUUGUUGGAUCGGGUGAAUCCAAUAGCUAGCUAACUUCAUGAAAUCGGUUGUGUGAGUUAGCUGUCAAGGGGCCACUACUGAGGACGCUAGUUAUUAAAUGGCGAGUACUGUAGCUAGCUAACUAUAGCUAACACUAUUUGAUAAACGUUUUAUGUUUGUAGCUGUCUAGUAACAGUGCUAUGUAGAGAUAUGUGUGCUUGGCUAGUGUUUUAUUAUAGUUAGCUAGCUAGUUACCUAGCUAAAUAAUGUGUGUUAGCUUGGCAAACAUUAGCAUGAAGCUGACGUUACAUAUAGAUGAGAAGGUGGGAAGAGUUUCUGCCACUUGCCAUUUUUAAGUUGGACCUGCUCCCCUCCAUUACCCAACAUACAGCCCACAGAAACGUCAAUGCUAUGGAACAUCUUGAUGGGGAGCUGAAGGCCAGCAGAGAGUUUCGGCAAAAGAUGAUCUCUUUUUGCAUUUCCAUCUCCUGACCUAGUCAGCCAUUAUAAUUAUGCUUUAAAAGUUUGUGAUAUUAUUAGCAGAGACAUAACCAAUAUCCAGAUCUGUAUGGAGCCUUAGUUAUCCAAAACUAAGAUAGUGUUUUUGAUAUUGGAAAAAAAACUGUUACUAGUUUUUCAGCAGCCAAUAGGCUAUUAAAAUUAGGUGAAUUACUUAAUAUUGACAUCCAAUAUCCAUAUGUUAUGGUCACUUUUCUGUUGUCUGUGGUUACAGAUUGACUAUUUGGGAUUGAAAAGUGGCUGUGAUGUGAAAGAGUGUGUGGAGGAUCAUGGCACACAUAAUCUACCAUGAUUUGAACUGGAGGGGAAUCAAUGGAAAGGUGCCCUUCUGCCAACUGUAGCUCAAAGAGAUAGUUAAUGUUCUACUGGUGCCAAAGUCCUUCAUUAAUACUAGAACGCAUAGAAAGAAACAUCUAAAUAAACCAGAUAUUCUUUGUUCCCCAACUUUCAAUUAAAGCUGCGUCAUUAAACCGGACAAGUGUUUUUUUGCACCGUCAACGUUGCUGUCUUAGACUAGUUUCUGUUACAAUGUUUUCAGUGGCCCUGUUUAUAGGGCUUGUUGUAAUUUGCAAGUCAUGUUUCUAUUUUGUCUUUACAAGGCUCAUUUGGGCAGUUGAAGUCAGAAGUUUACAUACA